rnacentral:tRNA from 1 species
AUUUUCAUAGUUUAAAUUAAAACAUUACAUUUUCAUUGUAAAAUUAGAACUAUUUCUUGUAAAU